AGAAGUGGUCCAGAAGAGAAGGCUAAGGAUGCAGAGUCUGGCAUAGCCGGCCCUACACUGAAAUGAUGGAAGCUCAUACAUCUUGGAACAACCUUGGCUACGAAUGUUCUAAAGCGUGUUGUCUUCAUUUUUUAAAAGGGCUUCACUCUGAGGAGAAUCUUUCACUUCCCUGGUCGGCAGGAUGGGCUUUGAAACAGUUGGGAAACCAAGAGAAGUUCACUGUCAGAAGUCUUACCUGUACACCGUUGUCUCAGUUCCUCUUCAUCGUAGUCAAUAAGUAGUUUCCUACUGUAAUGUACCCAAAGAAAGGCUAAUCAAUUUCC